CUACAAGGCAGUUCAACAGAAACAGAUCCAUGCGAACCCGUAGACGACCAGCAAGAUAUCGGCAGUCAGACAAUGAAAGUGGUGCUUCAGCGAACUCGGCCGUAGUAAAUGAUCAACAAGAGCAAAACCAAAGAAGCAUGCCAGUAUUAACUUUAGCAUCGACUGAUGUUACUCGGGUUGAUAUAAAUGCUGAUACGAGGUUUGUACUCUAAAAUUAGCCAAAGUUUCAUUGCAUUUAACCUGAUUUUCUGCUGGCUAUUAGU